AUGGUUCAUUUUUUCUUGCCCACUACAGGCCACCUGAUCCAUGUAUUCAGAGGUGCAAAUCCUGAGAUCACAGAACCAACAGCGGUCUCUGCCCCGGCUCCCUCUGCUCCUGGAGAAGCUGAAGAGGAGCAAAUUGAGCAAUAUGACCGCAAGGCUCCAGCUGUGGUCACACCACAGCCUGAACAUUGUGAGCCAGUCCUUCCAGAGAAAGAGCAGGAGCAGCCUGCUUUAUCAGAGAUGCCAUGGCAGAAUCAGGGAGAGCUGUUCCCAGCCCGAGAGCAGGAAGAGCAGCUCAGGCAGCAGGUGGAAGAGCCACAGGAGAACGACCAGGACAUCAAGGCAGAGCCACAAGCAGAGCUGCCCAAAGCUCAGAGUGACACUAUGGCAGUGAAGAGGAAGAACAAGGAAGACUUGAGAACCAUCCAAGAGAAGAAGAAUCUCCAUCAGCAGAGGGGUGAUCAACAAAACCAGGUGAGUGAAAGAGUAGCAGCCACUCCACUCAGGAAACUUCCUCUCUCUUGUUCUUUACGGAACAUUGAUGAACAGCUGCAGGCAGAGCUGCAGGAAGCUGAGGCUAGGAUCAAGGCAAGGGAGAAGAAGCAAGACAAAAAAAUUGAAAUCAUCAGAGAGAAAAUUAAUCUCCUCCUUCAGGAGCAAAAUACUCUUGAAAAGCAAGUGAGUGAAAUAGCCACUGCAGUCACCAAACUGGUGGUUUCUGCCCUCCUUGUCUUUUCUCUGCAGAGCAGCAGGUGGGUGGAGUGA
rnacentral:lncRNA from 1 species